CCUAGGGGUGCAGCAGUGGGGAAUAUUGGACAAUGGGGGAAACCCUGAUCCAGCAAUGCCGCGUGUGUGAAGAAGGCCUGCGGGUUGUAAAGCACUUUCGGUUGGGAGGACUGCUUCUAGCACUAAUAUUGUUGGAAGUUGACGUUACCUUCAGAAGAAGCACCGGCUAACUCCGUGCCAGCAGCCGCGGUAAUACGGAGGGUGCAAGCGCUAAUCGGAAUUACUGGGCGUAAAGCGCGCGUAGGCGGCUAGAUCAGUCGGGUGUGAAAGCCCCGGGCUUAACCUGGGAACUGCAUCCGAUACUGUCUAGCUUGAGUACAGGAGAGGAGAGUGGAAUUCCACAUGUAGCGGUGACAUGCGUAGAUAUGUGGAGGAACACCAAUGGCGAAGGCAGCUCUCUGGCCUGAUACUGACGCCGAGGUGCGAAAGCGUGGGGAGCAAACAGGAUUAGAUACCCCCGUAGUC
rnacentral:rRNA from 1 species